rnacentral:misc_RNA from 1 species
GCCCAUCCACGCUUGGUUGCCUCAUGGCCUCUGAUGCGGACAUUGGCCCUCCGAACCGCGAGGUGCGGUGGGCCUAAGAGUGCGGCCGUCGUAUGUGGCCGGGAGCGGCGAGUGGUGGGCUACUGCGCACGUCACCCCGAGCCCCAUUCCGGACACUAGGGCCUUGUUUGACCCCUAUAACGAGGAGUAUGUCGUUGCGGCUUCUUGCUGUGCGGCGUCUUCGGACC